GCUACUAUAUCACGUUGAAACACCGGUUUCCAUAUGAUCAUCGAAGUUAAGCAACGUCGAGCCUGGUCAGUACCUAAAUAGGUGACUGCUUGGAAAUAUGAGGUGCUGUAAG